rnacentral:rRNA from 1 species
UACAGAGGGGGCAAGCGUUGUUCGGAAUUACUGGGCGUAAAGGGCGCGUAGGCGGCCCGCUAAGUCGAGCGUGAAAUCCCCGAGCUCAACUCGGGAACUGCGUCCGAUACUGGCGGGCUUGAAUCCGGGAGAGGGAUGCGGAAUUCCAGGUGUAGCGGUGAAAUGCGUAGAUAUCUGGAGGAACACCGGUGGCGAAGGCGGCAUCCUGGACCGGCAUUGACGCUGAGGCGCGAAAGCGUGGGGAGCAAACAGG